rnacentral:lncRNA from 1 species
GGCUUAGAGGGGCUGGCUCUGAGACCACGCCUCGCGAGGUGCCUCCCCACCUUGCGAUCGGGGUCCCAAGAACCAGGGGGGAAGAGGGGCUGGCUCUCUUUGUGGAUGAUUCUUUUUCCAUUCUCAGGCAGUUUUCUUUUUUCUUUCUUUUCUUUUUUUUUGAGACUGAGUCUUGCUCUGUUGCCCAUGCUUUGCUGGAUCUCGGGUGACUGCAACCACUGCCUCCCAGGUUCAAGAGAUUCUCCUGCCUCAGCCUCCUGAGUAGCUGGGACUAGAGGCGUGUGUCACCACACCCAGCUAAUUUUUGUAUUUUUAGUAGAGAUGGAGUUUCACCAUGUUUGCCAGGAUGGUCUCUAUCUCCUGACCUUGUGAUCCACCCACCUCAGCCUCCCAAAGUGCUGGGAUUGCAGGUGCGAGCCACCGGGUCCACCCUCUCAGGCGAUUUUCAUACCUGCAUACUCUGAUCACUACUCUGUUAAACAGUCAACGAGGCUGAGUGCCACGUGCUGACAUCACUAAGAUCAAUACAGCAAACUCUGAAAGAUGGACAGAGAGACAGGAGAUGGUCCUUUAUAAUGCAGUGUGAUCUGUGCUGCAAUAGAGUUUUGGAAGCUAGAAGUUCAAAACGAGGUGUUGGCAGCACCAUGCUCUCUCUGAAGAUGCUAGGAAGAAUCUGCUCCAUGCCUUUCCAUUCGCUUCUGGGGUUUCCUGCAAGCCCUGACAUUCCUUGGCUUGUGGAUGCAUCACCCCAGUUUCCGUCCCCAUCAUCACAUGGCCUCCUCUCUGUGUGUGCCUCUGCGUUCCCUCUAUUCUUCUUCUAAGGACACCAACACCAGUCAUAGUGGAUUAAGGGUCCACUCCUAACUAAUUACAUCUGCAACAACCCUAUUUCCAAAUAAAGUCACAUUCUAAGAUUCCUAGGGAGAACAUGAAUUUUUGGGGGUGUGUGGAUACUGUUCAACCUGGGACAUGGAGUAAAUAAAUGGCAAGGAAGAUUACAGAUGACUUUAAGCUAAAGAGGGAGAUAGGGUUAAAUGUAGGACUUUUUUUUUUUUUCCAGGACGGGAG